rnacentral:lncRNA from 1 species
CGACUUCAUUCUCUGAACCCCAUCUUUCCUGCUCUACCCAGCACCCCACCACGCACAGCUCUGUCAUUAUGACUACAGUUGGGGUUGCCACACAACAUAUACUCCUGGUUUAGAAGUCGGGCUGCUCUCAACUCGGGUGCCAAGUGCUGUUCCGAACACUACCUACACUCACCGCUUUAAUCUGCACAUCUCCGCUCCUCGGGUUUACAAGUCAUCCUUGGAAUCCAGCAGAGAAGUCAAAGGACUUGCCCAAGAUAACAGGUAGGCGGAGCCAGGCUGGAAUUCAGCAGUCUGACUGCAUAGCCCUCUUGAAACAGCGACACGAAACCACUGCUCUUGUAGCGCUCGGCCAAGGCGACCUGUUUCCUGGAGCUACCCUGGCACGGGUGAAGGCAGAGGCAUCUCCCAGAGUGGGGUGCAGGGGUGCCAGCAGGAGGGGAGUCAGUCAUCUGACCCUCCUACGCAGGAAGGGCUCCGGGUAGAGGAGCCCCUGGUGAGAGGGCCAGGGGCAGUGGUGCAGUUGUAAUCCCCGUUACUUGAGAGGCUGAGGCAGGAGGACUGCAAAUUUGAGCCCAGCGUGAACAACUUAGCAAGAAACUGUCUCAAACAGAGCGGG